GCCCUGAUGCUACGAUGCUGUAGUUGAUCCUCGAAGAAUGAAAUCGGGCUUCGAAGAUCGCGCUGGAUUCCAAGGUUGGGUUGGUAGUCGCAGCAAUCCAGAUCCCGUGACUCCUCCAGGCACUUGCCCAAGUUUCCUUCAGGGGAUCUCAAUGUCAACAACAACUUAUGCUCCCUUCACACAUCAACAUCGACAGCACUGCCAAUCAGGCCUUACCAAUGUACAUCAUCGUUCUCAUCAACGAUGAUUCGAUAAUUGACUGCCAUGUUACACGGGGCGGGUUGAAUGCCAGCACGGGGCUAGGCUGAUGUGUCAAUUUCGUUUCUGCAAAGGAGCAGCAACUCGAUUAGGAUUCGCGUUCUUGUCACGCGCUAGCAACUGCCGAGCAGAUUAAUCAUUACAGAGAGAACCCUUAUUUUAGCGUCGAAUCUGACCCACCACCACACGAGGUCAAAGUGCAAAAUUCGAGACGAGGUGGAACCAUGGCAGAUACCGAAACAACACGGGCAAAUGAGCAUGUCAUAUCUAGCAAGUAGCGUCAAGCUAAGCACCACAGACAGCAAUAAGUGUACGACGGUGUGUACCUCGGGCGCCAAAUAGUUCGCCUUUCCAAAGUUUCCAUCGAUCAGCGAGGUCGAUGCUCAUUUUUGAUCUCCACCCUUCAGUCGCUUCAUGACACUAGUACUACAGUUUGAACUAGAAAAGCCACCUUAUUUGAGGCUAGGAUAAUAUGAUUAAUAUCCACCCAGCAAUUUUAGGGGCCCCUCAGAUGUACUGUACAGGUAUUCGGAGUUGCUGAGUGCAUAGAAUUACAGAUCAACCGGGCCAAUGAAAUCUAUUCAGGAUGUAUGGUCGGAUUAGAGGAUGUGUCAAUCGCAUUGCUCUAAACCCGGUAACAAGCCGUGACUAUUUGCCUUCAGAAGCCAAUUGGCCUUUUCUUCCAUAGGGCUACAUGGCCGACGGAGAGGUUUUCUGAUAAAGACAAACUUGGCAGUGAGAUCAUCGAAUGAUAUGAUGAGCGUGUUGUGACAAGAGGGUAGGCAGAUCUUUUUUGUCUGCAAAUUUGGCACAUCAAGACACUUCUACUCUCCUGGACUUCCUAUCUGAAAUGAUCUUAUGUAGAUAUGGUUCCGUUUAUGGUAAAACAUGUACGUUAUUCCCCAAUUAUAUUGCAGUUUAAACCACCAAAUUUGAUGCUGUCCUUGUGUGGCCUUUGAGAUCAUGCAAAACCGAAUCUUGAACUGGCUGUUGGUGCUAUGCUCUACGUCCAUCUUGCAGCUAAUGCUACUAUCAACCUGAAGAUGAGCACAAUCUCAAGAACUAGUAGCAUACAGGCUGCCAGCAUUCGACAUAAAAUCGAUCUCAUAGCUGCAGAUCUGCAUUGAUGCAGAAGCCGAG
rnacentral:lncRNA from 1 species